UGGGGAAUUUUGGACAAUGGGGGAAACCCUGAUCCAGCCAUCCCGCGUGUGCGAUGAAGGCCUUCGGGUUGUAAAGCACUUUUGGCAGGAAAGAAACGUCAUGGGUUAAUACCCCGUGAAACUGACGGUACCUGCAGAAUAAGCACCGGCUAACUACGUGCCAGCAGCCGCGGUAAUACGUAGGGUGCAAGCGUUAAUCGGAAUUACUGGGCGUAAAGCGUGCGCAGGCGGUUCGGAAAGAAAGAUGUGAAAUCCAAGAGCUCAACUUUGGAACUGCAUUUUUAACUACCGAGCUAGAGUGUGUCAGAGGGAGGUGGAAUUCCGCGUGUAGCAGUGAAAUGCGUAGAUAUGCGGAGGAACACCGAUGGCGAAGGCAGCCUCCUGGGAUAACACUGACGCUCAUGCACGAAAGCGUGGGGAGCAAACAGG
rnacentral:rRNA from 1 species